UCCACGCCGUAAACGAUGAUUACUCGUUUUUGGGUUUUAGGAUUCAGAGACUAAGCGAAAGUGAUAAGUAAUCCACCUGGGGAGUACGUUCGCAAGAAUGAAACUCAAAGGAAUUGACGGGGGCCCGCACAAGCGGUGGAGCAUGUGGUUUAAUUCGAUGAUACGCGAGGAACCUUACCAAGACUUAAAUGGGAAAUGACAGAUUUAGAAAUAGAUCCUU
rnacentral:rRNA from 1 species